ACAUGCACUUAUGGCAUCUGCCGCUGCCCACAUAAAUACGGGCACACAAACACGUGUUGGAAUCGCAUCAGAGAGUAGUGGACCGAGAGUUUUCUUUUUCUGUCCAAUUUUACUUCAAUGAAAAUCCUUUGCACUCAUGAAAAACUUAAUUAUUAGGCAUGCGAGACAGGUAGUACUUGUCUGUAAAAAUGGAGAACGUAUCUUGAAAGGGGAAGCGCUGAAAAAUAUUGCUAUUUUGGAGGGGAGUGUCAACCGUGGAAUAUCAGUUGUAGCAGAUGAGUUCGGGAAAAUCGAGUGUAUUGGUUAUGACGAUGACGUUGAACCGCAAUACAACGAGUGCAGCUUUGCCUCGGAGGUCGACGCUACCGGGAUGUGUGUGUUACCAGGGCUGAUUGAUGGGCACACCCACCCAGUAUGGGUGGGGGACAGGGUUCAUGAGUUUGCCAUGAAGCUCGCUGGGGCCUCAUAUAUGGAUGUUCACAAAGCUGGAGGGGGAAUCAACUUUACUGUUGAACAUGUUCACAAGGCAACUGAAGAUGAGCUUUAUGAGCCCCUUAAGCAGCGGCUUAAUCGCAUGCUCCAGUGUGGCACAACCCUUGUUGAAGCCAAGAGUGGAUAUGGAUUGAACACAGAGAAUGAAAUGAAAAUGUUAAGAGUGAUUGAAAGAGCAAAAAAAGAACUGCCUAUAGAGAUUUCCAGCACUUUUUGUGGUGCACAUGCCAUACCAAGAGGCAGCACUGCUAAACAAGCAGCAGAUAACAUCAUCAAUGAACAGAUACCAACUCUGGUGAAAGCAAUUAAAGCUGGAGAGUUAGAUGUGGAGAAUAUUGAUGUGUUCUGUGAGAAAGGUGUGUUUGAGGUUGAAGAAACAAGAGUGAUUCUACAGGCAGGGAAAGAUGCAGGCCUUGCAAUCAAUUUCCAUGGAGAUGAGCUUCACCCCAUCAAGGGAGCAGAGCUUGGGGCUGAAUUAGGAGCACGAGCCAUCAGUCAUCUUGAAGAGAUAAGUGAGGAAGGAAUCAAGGCAAUGUCAAAGUCUUCAGUGAUUGGGGUACUGCUACCUACUACAGCAUAUAUUCUACGAUUAAAACCACCACCAGCAAGGGCAAUGAUUGAUGCAGGGGUGGCUAUAGCUCUUGGUACAGAUUUCAAUCCAAAUGCAUACUGUCUUUCUAUGCCAUUGACAAUGCACCUUGCUUGCUGCAUCUUGCGUAUGUCCAUGACUGAAGCACUCGCCGGUGCUACCAUUAAUGCUGCUGCUUCUUUGGGAAGGGCUGACACUCAUGGCUCACUAGAAGUUGGCAAGUUUGCAGAUAUGGUUGUCAUCAACGCAGAAAGAUGGGAACACUUAAUUUAUCAAAUUGGUGGCCAUGACGACAUCAUCCAACAUGUUGUUAAGCAUGGAAAAGUAGUUUUCAGUAAAAGAUGAGACACCAGGCUGUCAAUAACAUGAGACUGACAUGGAAUAAAAAAAUGUUUGCAUUAAGGCUUGCCAAGCUCCCAGUUGAAAUUGGAAACUAAAGCAAGGACUCUUCUGGGAUACAAGGUAUUUAAAGAAAUAUCAUAAACUCCGAAAAUAAGGAAGGCCUUAUAUUGGAGUUAAUCGAUUAACUCUAAGGAGGAGAUACACGAAGGAUGUUCCAGUAUUUGAGAACACUGUUCUUAACGCGCCAAAACAAUCAAGCCAAAUUAGCACCCUUCAAGUAAGCUAAAAAUAAUACACAUAUCAAACACAAAAAGUAUCAAUUUGAGAAACUAUAAUAAUAAAAGAAGACCUGUGGAAAUAAUGUCGCUCCUUUUUAGCUUAUUGUAUUUAGUCAAAGGAAGGUGUUUUCUUUCAGACUUUCAAAGGUUUUGUUUUACCUUUUGUUCGAGAAUUAACAAAGGCUUUUGACCUCUGUUGACAUGUAAUAACCAGAUAUUUAUGUCAUACAGAGUAGUCUGGUUAUUGUAUGUCAACACCUCCUUGAUGUGACCGAGAUCUAUAACGUUUGAUUGGCUCAAACGGCGCAGAUCUGCGCCGUGGAAACCCCAAAUCAUAGCUCGAUAACUGAUUGGUUUAACCUUGAGCAGAACUGCGUACUGGGUCAGGACCCUAAGAUGUUUCCACUUAAUAGGUUUUUUUUCCAGUUUAGAAUUGAUCUCUGUUAUGUUUGUUUUACUUUCAUGUUAUGGUGGACAAGAGUAGUUGAUAAGAGUCUAAGUAUAAUUAUUAGCAGAACCCUGAUAGAGUGAUUAGUUAGCAUGCUGCAGCAGGUAGAUGUUUUACCACAGAAUCAUUCAUCAGCCAAUCAGCUGCCUGUCUGUGGGAAUGUGCAUGACUUCCACUCCAAGAUGGCUGCUGUUUAGCCAAUGGUGGACUCUGAGCAAUGUUUCGAUGUUUGUAUGGGACUGCUAUUCAAUUAAAAAAAAGAAAUAACUAAA